rnacentral:piRNA from 1 species
UGAAAUAACCUUAUUAUCUCC